UACAUACUAGCUCAAUUAGUUAGAGCGAUCGUCUCUAAAACGAUAAGUUGCAGGUGCAAUUCCUGCGUUUGUAACC
rnacentral:tRNA from 1 species